CAGCACGGGCUUCGGUCUGGUGGCGAGUGGCGAACGGGUGAGUAAUGUAUCGGAACGUACCUUUCAGUGGGGGAUAACGUAGCGAAAGUUACGCUAAUACCGCAUAUUCUGUGAGCAGGAAAGCAGGGGAUCGCAAGACCUUGCGCUGAUUGAGCGGCCGAUAUCAGAUUAGCUAGUUGGUGGGGUAAAGGCCUACCAAGGCUACGAUCUGUAGCGGGUCUGAGAGGAUGAUCCGCCACACUGGAACUGAGACACGGUCCAGACUCCUACGGGAGGCAGCAGUGGGGAAUUUUGGACAAUGGGGGCAACCCUGAUCCAGCCAUGCCGCGUGAGUGAAGAAGGCCUUCGGGUUGUAAAGCUCUUUCGGCCGGGAAGAAAUCGCAUAGGUUAAUACCCUGUGUGGAUGACGGUACCGGAAUAAGAAGCACCGGCUAACUACGUGCCAGCAGCCGCGGUAAUACGUAGGGUGCGAGCGUUAAUCGGAAUUACUGGGCGUAAAGCGUGCGCAGGCGGUUUCGUAAGACAGAGGUGAAAUCCCCGGGCUCAACCUGGGAACUGCCUUUGUGACUGCGAAGCUAGAGUACGGCAGAGGGGGGUGGAAUUCCACGUGUAGCAGUGAAAUGCGUAGAGAUGUGGAGGAACACCGAUGGCGAAGGCAGCCCCCUGGGCCGAUACUGACGCUCAUGCACGAAAGCGUGGGUAGCAAACAGGAUUAGAUACCCUGGUAGUCCACGCCCUAAACGAUGUCAACUAGGUGUUGGGUGGGUAAAACCAUUUAGUACCGUAGCUAACGCGUGAAGUUGACCGCCUGGGGAGUACGGCCGCAAGGUUAAAACUCAAAGGAAUUGACGGGGACCCGCACAAGCGGUGGAUGAUGUGGAUUAAUUCGAUGCAACGCGAAAAACCUUACCUACCCUUGACAUGUUCAGAAUCCCGAAGAGAUUUGGGAGUGCCCGAAAGGGAGCUGGAACACAGGUGCUGCAUGGCUGUCGUCAGCUCGUGUCGUGAGAUGUUGGGUUAAGUCCCGCAACGAGCGCAACCCUUGUCGUUAAUUGCCAUCAUUUAGUUGGGCACUUUAACGAGACUGCCGGUGACAAACCGGAGGAAGGUGGGGAUGACGUCAAGUCCUCAUGGCCCUUAUGGGUAGGGCUUCACACGUCAUACAAUGGUCGGUACAGAGGGUUGCCAAGCCGCGAGGUGGAGCCAAUCCCAGAAAGCCGAUCGUAGUCCGGAUUGCAGGCUGCAACUCGCCUGCAUGAAGUCGGAAUCGCUAGUAAUCGCGGAUCAGCAUGUCGCGGUGAAUACGUUCCCGGGUCUUGUACACACCGCCCGUCACACCAUGGGAGCGGGUUCCGCCAGAAGUAGGUAGCCUAACCGCAAGGGGGGCGCU
rnacentral:rRNA from 1 species